UACGUAGGGGGCAAGCGUUGUCCGGAUUUAUUGGGCGUAAAGAGCGUGUAGGCGGCCAGGUAGGUCCGCUGUGAAAACUCGAGGCUCAACCUCGAGAUGUCGGCGGAAACCAUCUGGCUAGAGUACGGAAGAGGCGAGUGGAAUUCCUGGUGUAGCGGUGAAAUGCGCAGAUAUCAGGAGGAACACCCAUUGCGAAGGCAGCUCGCUGGGACGUUACUGACGCUGAGACGCGAAAGCGUGGGGAGCAAACAGG
rnacentral:rRNA from 1 species